rnacentral:rRNA from 1 species
AUUGAACGCUGGCGGAAUGCUUUACACAUGCAAGUCGAACGGCAGCACGGACUUCGGUCUGGUGGCGAGUGGCGAACGGGUGAGUAAUGUAUCGGAACGUGCCCAGUCGUGGGGGAUAACGUAGUGAAAAUUACGCUAAUACCGCAUACGAUCUAUGGAUGAAAGCGGGGGAUCGCAAGACCUCGCGCGAUUGGAGCGGCCGAUAUCAGAUUAGGUAGUUGGUGGGGUAAAGGCCCACCAAGCAAACGAUCUGUAGCUGGUCUGAGAGGACGACCAGCCACACUGGAACUUAGGCACGGGCCAGACUCCUACGGGAGGCGGCAGUGGGGAAUUUUGGACAAUGGGCGAAAGCCUGAUCCAGCCAUUCCGCGUGCAGGAUGAAGGCCCUCGGGUUGUAAACUGCUUUUGUACAGAACGAAAAGGUUUCUACUAAUACUAGGAGCUCAUGACGGUACGGUAAGAAUAAGCACCGGCUAACUACGUGCCAGCAGCCGCCGUAA